rnacentral:rRNA from 1 species
UACGUAGGGUGCAAGCGUUGUCCGGAAUUAUUGGGCGUAAAGAGCUCGUAGGCGGUCUGUCGCGUCUGCUGUGAAAACUCAGGGCUUAACCCUGAGCUUGCAGUGGGUACGGGCAGACUAGAGUGCGGUAGGGGAGACUGGAAUUCCUGGUGUAGCGGUGAAAUGCGCAGAUAUCAGGAGGAACACCGGUGGCGAAGGCGGGGUCUCUGGGCCGUAACUGACGCUGGAGGAGCG